rnacentral:misc_RNA from 1 species
UGAUCGCAAAGGUGAAAGUUCACUGCACUGACCUAAAAAGCAAUUGGUAUUAUCAGGAACUAAUAAUAUUGGUAUUAUUUCAACAUGGUAGAUCUCCAGUCAGUCUCCUACGAAACCAUUGUGGAAGCCUACAGAUACUUCACACAACUUCCAGAGGUCACAUCUGCUAGUAUCAGGGCAGAGGAAAAUGAAAACAUCAUCAGCGUUCAGUCCAUGUGGAGUCAGCGAGACAUUGAUCGGAAGGAAAAAACUUCUUUUGGGAGAACAUAUGUUUUGGAUGCUGCAAAAAAUGUUGUGGUGUCAUGCUCUUCACCACAGGAAAUCAAUAACCAAGUUUGGAAUGUAGCUUCACCGUCUGGAAAAUACAGAGCUAUUCUAAGGAAGCAGAAAGAUAAGAAAGGGGACGAUAAACAAUAUUUGGAGAUUUGGAAUGCUGUUCAGAAAGUGAAAACCAUUAAUGUUGAGGGACUGGAGAAACAUGGAAAAAUCAUUAGUGAUGAUGGGCAUUUCGGAAGUUUCCAGUGGUCACGAGCAGAAGGCCAUGUACUGUAUGUGGCAGAGAAGAAGAGGCCUAAAGCUAGCAGUUUCUUUGAUAGCAAGCCUUUUUCUGAAAGUACUGAAUCUAAGGAAAAAGAAACUGCUAGGGGUGAUGAAUUCCUGUACUACCAAAACUGGGGUGAGCAAAUUACAGAACAGAGCUCAACAGUACUUUGUGUCAUGGAUGUUGAAACAGGCACGGUCAGUGUCCUUGAAAGUGUGCCAGAAAACGUGUCACCUGGCCAGGCUGUGUGGGCACCUGAUGAUGCUGGUGUGGUGUUCAUUGGCUGGAUCCAUGAACCUUAUCGGCUUGGUUUAAAGCACUGUGUACAAAGAAGGAGCUUUGUCUACCAUCUUGAUAUUCAGAAAAAUAAAAUAGAAAAAAUCAGCGAAGAUGGUCGUGCAGUCAGGUUUCCUAGAUUCAGUCCUGAUGAUCGAUGGCUGGUUUACUUAGACACACUUGAUUCAGGACCACACAAUAUGUGCAGCAGACUUAUGAUGUGCGAGUGGGAAAGGAGACAUGAUGGACUCAAGCCUAUUCUUGAUAUUGUCAACAGUGCCAAAGAAGAAGAAUUUCCUGGCCUGUUCACAUGGUCAGUACCUGUGCACACUUGGCUGUCAGACAGCAUUCACCUGGUGCUCAACACUUUCUGGGGGUCUCGGUCAGAGGUUGUUGUGGUCAACACACAAACAAAAAGUGUUGUUAGAGUUCGUCCAGACUUAGCAAGCUGGUCUUCUACUGUUCUGGACAUCCAUGGGAAUCAUGUAGUCAUAGGAUGUUCUUCACCAAAUCAAGCACCAUAUCUUAUCUUUGGAACACUAGUUCCCUCUGACCUUGGUUCCUCCCAGUGGCUUAGGCUGGACAACAAGUCAGAAGUCAUUACUAGCUUUGAAUGGCAGAUCAUUCAACAUUCACCUUCUUCAGAUAGAGUCCACCCUAAAUAUGGAAAUCUGGACUAUGAGAGUAUUUUAUAUUUACCAAAAGGUAGCAGCGUCAACGGCUCAAAACCUCCCCUGAUCCUCUUUCCACAUGGUGGCCCCCACUCUGUAUGUGAUGGUAGUUUUGCCUUUCAGCCAGCUGUCUAUUGCCACUGUGGCUUCGCUGUCCUGUUGGUGAAUUUCCGAGGAUCUCUUGGAUUUGGACAAGACAGUAUUCUGUCUAUACUUGGGAGGAUUGGAGAUCAGGAUGUAAAAGACUGUAAGAGUGCAGCUGAUGAAGUGAUAGAAAAGGGACUGGCAGAUGGUACAAAGGUCGUGGUUUGUGGAGGGUCCCAUGGAGGCUUUCUUGCUACACAUCUAAUUGGUCAAUAUCCAGAUUAUUUCAAGGCUGCUUGUGCCCGAAACCCAGUAACAAACUUGACAUUUAGAGUUUGGGCCAGUGACUCUGCAGACACCGAUGGUUGGCACUACAGACAUCAUUUCCUGGGUGUUUACUGAAGUUGGGGAAACAUUUUCGUACGACACUCAAGUUGAUGCUACAAUCUUGAGCAAGAUGUGGGAUGCCUCACCUGUCCGCUGCAUUAAACAGGUAAAAACACCAGUUCUACUUCAGGUGGGUCUUAAGGACUUGCGGGUUCCACCCUCUCAGAGUCUGGAGUAUUGGAAGAUGUUGAAGGCCAAUGGUGUUCCUGUCAG